rnacentral:rRNA from 1 species
GAACUAAUCCUAGCCCUAAAACCAACUAAUAUAAUUAAAUUAUUGUAUAGACUAAAACAUUUAACUCAAAAAGUAUUGGAGAAAGAAAUUUACUUAUAGGAGCUAUAGAGAAAGUACCGUAAGGGAAUGAUGAAAGACUAAUUUAAAGUAACAAUAAGCAAAGAUUAAACCUUGUACCUUUUGCAUAAUGAAUUAACUAGAAAAACCUUAGCACAAAGAAUUAAAGCUAAAAACCCCGAAACCAAACGAGCUACCUAAAAACAAUUUUAUGAAUCAACCCGUCUAUGUAGCAAAAUAGUGGGAAGAUUUUUAGGUAGAGGUGAAAAGCCUACCGAGCUUGGUGAUAGCUGGUUGCCCAAAAAAAGAAUUUCAGUUCAACUUUAAGUUUACCAUAAGAACAAUAAAUCAAAAUGUAAACUUAAAAUAUAGCUAAAAGAGGGACAGCUCUUUUGGAAAGGAAAAAACCUUAAAUAGUGAAUAAACAACUAACAACUAACUUAAUCAUUGUAGGCUUAAAAGCAGCCACCAAUAAAGAAAGCGUUCAAGCUCAACAUACUUAUACGCACUAAUCCCCUAAACCUCAAUAAAUUCCUAUCCUAUCAAUUGGGCUAAUCUAUAAAACCAUAGAUGAAAUACUGUUAAUAUGAGUAACAAGAAUUAAUUCUCCUUAGCACAAGUGUAUGACACCCCGGAUAACCAUUGUCAAUUACCGAAUUACAGGUAUUAACCCCAUAAUAAAACCACCUGAUCCUAACUCGUUAGUCCAACACAGGAGUGCUUCAAGGAAAGAUUAAAAAAAGUAAAAGGAACUCGGCAAACACGAGCCCCGCCUGUUUACCAAAAACAUCACCUCUAGCAUAACAAGUAUUAGAGGCAUUGCCUGCCCAGUGACUAAAGUUAAACGGCCGCGGUAUCCUGACCGUGCAAAGGUAGCAUAAUCACUUGUUCCUUAAUUAGGGACUAGAAUGAAUGGCUAAACGAGGGUUCAACUGUCUCUUACUUUCAAUCAGUGAAAUUGACCUUCCAGUGAAGAGGCUGGAAUACUACAAUAAGACGAGAAGACCCUAUGGAGCUUUAAUUUACUAGUUUAAUUUAUACAGUAACAACCUAAUGGACCAAAACAAAAUAAAUAUAAACUAAAAAUUUCGGUUGGGGUGACCUCGGAGAAUAAAAAAUCCUCCGAAUGAUUUUAACCUAGACCCACAAGUCAAAGUAAUAUUAAUAUCUUAUUGACCCAAUUAUUGAUCAACGGACCAAGUUACCCUAGGGAUAACAGCGCAAUCCUAUUUAAGAGUUCAUAUCGACAAUUAGGGUUUACGACCUCGAUGUUGGAUCAGGACAUCCCAAUGGUGCAGAAGCUAUUAAUGGUUCGUUUGUUCAACGAUUAAAGUCCUACGUGAUCUGAGUUCAGACCGGAGUAAUCCAGGUCGGUUUCUAUCUAUUUACAAUUUCUCCCAGUACGAAAGGACAAGAGAAAUGGAGCCACCUUACCAUAAGUGCUCCCAAACCAAUUUAUGAAAAAAAUCUCAAUAAAAUAUGUAUGUACAACAAAUUAAACCUAGACCAGGUUAU